rnacentral:lncRNA from 1 species
CUCUAUCGUUUCCACAGUCCUCAUCAACAUCUUCUUCAUCACCCUUCACCUUAGCUUCCCCUUGCCUUACUUCUGUCUUCUCAUUGCAGUUGCUAUGCUUUGAUAAUGUUCUACAGUCCCCAUGGAACCAUUCUCUGCUCUUCUAGGCAUGGUGAGGACGUUUUAAAGGACCUUGGCCAUUCUGCAGCACAAUGAAUGUCACCACCUUUGAAUCAGGAUAGACAAUUGAAACACCCAGCAGGAUGGAGCAUGGAAGAGCUGGGAUCAAGCUGGCUUAGAAAGAAGACAUAGCCAGGACAGCGUAGGGACAGCAGCUAACUCGUGGUCUGGGCGCCAAGAGCCAGGACAGUAGCCUUGCCCUUUGGGAGCCCAUGGGAAGGCGAGGUCACUGAAUCGAUGCAACCCUGGGAAGAAAGAUGAGGCUGUCCUCAUCCCAGGGAAGACUUGAGCUGGGCUACUGGACGCUGAUGGACUAUCGAGUGUCCAAACGUCACUCUUGCUGGAACAGAAGGAGCCAGAGGACACUGCAAGCAUCAUGCAUUUCUGGACGUCUUCCCACCUCCCCUGGUCACCAUCCCUGCCCUGCCUCCUAAGCUAGACACCUGGUGUCCUCUUUGUUGCCCCUCCAUGGUUGCCUUCUUCAACUGUCAGAGUUGUUCUUGCCCGUGUAUGACACUCCAGCCUCACUGCUACCUCCAGGGUCAUGAGUGUCACCAGCUCCCUCCAAAACCUUAUAGCCCUCACUGCCCUGUUGGCCACCAUGUAGUGUCAGGAGGGUUGUGAACUGCAGUUAGGGUGCAGUAAAACCCGCACAGGCUUGAACCCUGACUCUGACCCCAUCCAAGCUGGCCAGAGCCUCUGACAUUCACCCUCACUGCCCUCUUCUGUACAAUGGAACACACUGACCUCACAAAGAUGUGUUCACCCAGCACUCUGGGAGGCUGAGACAGGAAGAUCAAAAGUUCAAGCCCAGAUUGAGCAAAUUGGGGAGAGUUUAUCUGAAAAGUAAAAAAAUAAAAUAAAAAUUGGGGAGAGAGAGAGAGA